rnacentral:rRNA from 1 species
UCGAACGAUGAAACCGCCCUCGGGCGGACAUGAAGUGGCGAACGGGUGAGUAACACGUGACCAACCUGCCCCCCUCUCCGGGACAACCUUGGGAAACCGAGGCUAAUACCGGAUACUCCCUCCCCUGCUCCUGCAGGGGUCGGGAAAGCCCAGGCGGAGGGGGAUGGGGUCGCGGCCCAAUAGGUAGUAGGCGGGGUAACGGCCCACCUAGCCCGCGAUGGGUAGCCGGGUUGAGAGACCGACCGGCCACAUUGGGACUGAGAUACGGCCCAGACUCCUACGGGAGGCAGCAUG